AUGCUGGGAGUUGGUAGGACAUAAGGGGAAUCAAAAGGAACAUGCAACAAUGAUAUACAAUGGCUACCUAGCGAGCUAAUAUAAAUGUUUCAAUGGAUUCCCAUGACUAUUAAAUUGGAAUAUGCUGCUUGGUGUGUGUUGCGCACACACAUUUUGUGGUCAAGGCCAAAUACGCGCGAACCACUGCGUAAUUAUGCAGCGCACAAGGAUCCACAUUUUGUGUCAAGGCGACCAACGGAUAGAAAUGAAUUGGCAAUCCCGGACAAAAAAAUAAAAACAUUUGUUGAAUGAAUAUGCUUCUUUAAUGUGCCAAUGCAGCAUCCAGACCACAGUGGCAGAAUGAGAACGCAUAAACUCUACCUAAAAUGUAGCCACCGCUUCCCGUAAAUGAAUAGUUAUUUUUCUUGAACUACAUUCCAGCAACACAGCGGCUUCCUCGAAGAGCAGCUUUAUAAGUACAUUGUUUUUUUUUGUGGCCACUGAUCGGGCUCGGCUGGCUGACAAGGAGACGCAGCACAGCGAGUAAACGUCAGUCAGCUCCUAUGUUGGUGAAAGAAGAUGAAAGAGCAUGAUUUGGGAAAGGACUACCUGGUACCUGGGCCUGUGUACCCGGCCGUGCAGAGCAGAGACACUUUACCAGGCUCAGAGGUCACCCCAUACGAUCUCGCCAAGGUCCAGGACCUGAGCCCAUGGACCAUGCUUCAGGACUACCUGCCAUGAUGACUCCUC